AACGAACGCUGGCGGCAGGCUUAACACAUGCAAGUCGAACGCCCCGCAAGGGGAGUGGCAGACGUGUGAGUAACACGUGGGAACAUGCCCAAAGGUACGGAAUAUUCUCGGGAAACUGAGAGCAAUACCUUAUGUGCCCGAAAGGUGAAAGAUUUAUCGCCUUUGGAUUGGCCCGCGUCGGAUUAGCUAGUUGGUGGGGUAAAAGCCUACCAAGGCGACGAUCCGUAGCUGGUCUGAGAGGACGACCAGCCACACUGGGACUGAGACACGGCCCAGACUCCUACGGGAGGAAGCAGUGGGGAAUCUUGGACAAUGGGCGCAAGCCUGAUCCAGCCAUGCCGCGUGGAUGAUGAAGGCCCUAGGGUUGUAAAAUCCUUUCGUUGGGGACGAUAAUGACGGUACCCAAAGAAGAAGCUCCGGCUAACUUCGUG
rnacentral:rRNA from 1 species